rnacentral:rRNA from 1 species
CCUACGGGGGGCAGCAGUGGGGAAUAUUGGGCAAUGGGCGCAAGCCUGACCCAGCAACGCCGCGUGAAGGAAGAAGGCUUUCGGGUUGUAAACUUCUUUUGUCAGGGAAGAGUAGAAGACGGUACCUGACGAAUAAGCCACGGCUAACUACGUGCCAGCAGCCGCGGUAAUACGUAGGUGGCAAGCGUUGUCCGGAUUUCCUGGGUGUAAAGGGCGUGUAGCCGGGUUGACAAGUCAGAUGGGAAAUCCUGCGGCUUAACCGCAGAACUGCAUUUGAAACUGUUGAUCUUGAGUACUGGAGAGGCAGGCGGAAUUCGUAGUGUAGCGGUGAAAUGCGUAGAUAUUAGGAGGAACACCAGUGGCGAAGGCGGUCUGCUGGACAGCAACUGACGGUGAGGCGCGAAAGCGUGGGGAGCAAACAGGAUUAGAUACCCGAGUAGUC